rnacentral:rRNA from 1 species
UACGGAGGGUGCAAGCGUUAUCCGGAUUCACUGGGUUUAAAGGGUGCGUAGGUGGGCAAGUAAGUCAGUGGUGAAAUCUCCGGGCUUAACCCGGAAACUGCCAUUGAUACUGUUUGUCUUGAAUACUGUGGAGGUCAGCGGAAUAUGUCAUGUAGCGGUGAAAUGCUUAGAUAUGACAUAGAACACCAAUUGCGAAGGCAGCUGGCUACACAAAUAUUGACACUGAGGCACGAAAGCGUGGGGAUCAAACAGG